UACGUAGGAGGCAAGCGUUGUCCGGAAUUACUGGGCGUAAAGCGCGUGUAGGUGGUGGGACAAGUCUGCUGUGAAAGCGCCUGGCUUAACCGGGCGAGGUCGGCGGAAACUGUCCGACUAGAGGACGGUAGAGGGGGGUGGAAUUCCCGGUGUAGUGGUGAAAUGCGUAGAGAUCGGGAGGAACACCUGUGGCGAAGGCGGCCCCCUGGGCCGGCCCUGACACUGAGGAGCGAAAGCGUGGGGAGCGAACAGG
rnacentral:rRNA from 1 species